CUACGGAGGGUGCAAGCGUUAAUCGGAAUUACUGGGCGUAAAGCGCGCGUAGGCGGUUUGAUAAGUCGGAUGUGAAAUCCCCGGGCUCAACCUGGGAAUUGCAUUCGAUACUGUCAGGCUAGAGUGUGGUAGAGGGAAGUGGAAUUUCCGGUGUAGCGGUGAAAUGCGUAGAUAUCGGAAGGAACACCAGUGGCGAAGGCGGCUUCCUGGACCAACACUGACGCUGAGGUGCGAAAGCGUGGGGAGCAAACAGGAUUAGAUACCCCAGUAGUCC
rnacentral:rRNA from 1 species